rnacentral:rRNA from 1 species
UACGAAGGGGGCUAGCGUUGUUCGGAAUUACUGGGCGUAAAGCGCACGUAGGCGGAUCGUUAAGUGAGGGGUGAAAUCCCAGGGCUCAACCCUGGGACUGCCUUUCAUACUGGCGAUCUUGAGUUCGAGAGAGGUGAGUGGAAUUCCGAGUGUAGAGGUGAAAUGCGUAGAUAUUCGGAGGAACACCAGUGGCGAAGGCGGCUCACUGGCUCGAUACUGACGCUGAGGUGCGAAAGCGUGGGGAGCAAACAGG